rfam:Clostridium grantii DSM 8605 genome assembly, contig: EJ34DRAFT_scaffold00021.21
UAAAUUGAGAGUUUGAUCCUGGCUCAGGACGAACGCUGGCGGCGUGCUUAACACAUGCAAGUCGAGCGAUGAAGUUCCUUCGGGAACGGAUUAGCGGCAGACGGGUGAGUAACACGUGGGCAACCUACCUCGAAGUGGGGGAUAGCCUUCCGAAAGGAAGAUUAAUACCGCAUAAUAUAUUUUUUACGCAUGUGAGAAAUAUUAAAGAUUUAUUGCUUCGAGAUGGGCCCGCGGCGCAUUAGCUAGUUGG